rnacentral:rRNA from 1 species
AUUGAACGCUGGCGGCAGGCCUAACACAUGCAAGUCGAGCGGAGCGGCGCACGGGUGAGUAAUGCCUAGGACUCUGCCUGGUAGUUGGGGUUAACGUCCGGAAACGGUCGCUAAUACCGCAUACUAUCAGAUUAGCCUCGGUUGGAAUGGCUUGGUUGUUGGGUAAAGGCCUACCAAGGCGACGAGCCGUAACUGGUCUGAGAGGAUGAUCAGUCACACUGGAACUGAGACGCGGUCCAGACUCCUAAGGGAGGCAGCAGUGGGGAAGAGUGGACAAUGGGCGAAAGCCUGAUCCAGCGGUGCCGCGUGUGUGAAGAAGGUGUUCGGAGUGGAAAGCACUUUAAGGUGGGAGGCGUUACCAACAGAAUAAGCACCGGCGAACUACGUGCCAGCAGCCGCGGUAAUAC